rnacentral:piRNA from 1 species
GCAAUACUGUGAUAAAUGAUCUUGGUUGUC